rnacentral:rRNA from 1 species
CGCACGGGUGAGUAACACGUAAGUAAUCUACCUUCGAGUGGGGAAUAACGUUCGGAAACGAACGCUAAUACCGCAUAAUGCAGCGGCACCUAAUGGUGACAGUUGUUAAAGGAGCAAUUCGCUUGAAGAGGAGCUUGCGGCAGAUUAGCUAGUUGGUAAGGUAACGGCUUACCAAGGCUACGAUCUGUAACCGGUCUAAGAGGACGGUCGGUCACACUGACACUGAAUAACGGGUCAG